rnacentral:rRNA from 1 species
CGGGUGAGUAACGCGUGGUAACCUGCCUUAUACAGGGGGAUAACAGUUGGAAACGGCUGCUAAUACCGCAUAAGCGCACGGCAUCGCAUGAUGCAGUGUGAAAAACUCCGGUGGUAUAAGAUGGACCCGCGUUGGAUUAGCUAGUUGGUGAGGUAACGGCCCACCAAGGCGACGAUCCAUAGCCGACCUGAGAGGGUGACCGGCCACAUUGGGACUGAGACACGGCCCAA